GCCAGAGAGUGUAGAUUCACCAAAAUAAAUGCUACAGAUUAGAGCAGCUCAGUAUACUUUUCGAACAUCUUAAGUACUCGAUUGGAGAUUUCGAAGACGAGUGUGGCAACUUUUAUAUCACGUCCUGAAGGCUAAACACAAUAUUUCGUCGUCUGUUUUCAGCCUGGUUCUGAAAUUUGGAUUCUCACGUUUAUCUAAGGUCUAUUAACAAGAUUCGAAUAUAUCCUCGGCAACUUUACUGCAUUAAAAGCUGUAAGCGUAUCCCAGUCAGCCAUUCGCACAAUCACGAAGUUAUUAACGGACCACAAGCUUUGAGUCGAGUACUUCUUUGCACACAGAGGGCAUCUUUUUAUGAUACUAAUAAGUGAGAGUUCUUGUGGUAGACAAAAUGUGUCUUUGAAACUUGCGAUCGGCAGCAGGGUUUGCUUUAUCGCCGCAUUCGUAUCAGUGUAAACAAAGCGGGAAUUUCGCUUCUCUUUUACACGUGUCUCCCAAUUGCAAUAUUUCAUGGCUGAUGGAUUACUUUGAGUUCUUUAGCACAUACUUAUGUCUAUGAUCUUCUUUUAAUAGUACCAAAGUUUAAAGCAAUUCGUUAAAACGUCACUAGUUUACACUCCUUUCGAAGGUUUAUUAAACGGAAUUUGAACUAAUUUGCAUAUGUGACCUUUCGCCGCCGACAUUGUCACGCUUCCUCUCGUUUCCUGAAAACAUACCUGUAGGGUCAUGGCAGCUUAGUUUACCUUUAUAGUUUUAAAUUCGCUCCCUCCAUAUAAAAGAAGAGGGUUUCUUAAAUUGUUGCUGUUGUGAUAACUUGUAGGAUGUAGCAGAUACAACUGGACUAAAGGUCACUGUGGCACAAUCUCGUCCGCUGU